CNUGGGAACUGCGUUCUGAACUGGGUGACUAGAGUGUNUCAGAGGGAGGUAGAAUUCCACGUGUAGCAGUGAAAUGCGUAGAGAUGUGGAGGAAUACCGAUGGCGAAGGCAGCCUCCUGGGAUAACACUGACGUUCAUGCCCGAAAGCGUGGGUAGCAAACAGGAUUAGAUACCCUGGUAGUCCACGCCCUAAACGAUGUCGAUUAGCUGUUGGGCAGCAUGACUGCUUAGUAGCGAAGCUAACGCGUGAAAUCGACCGCCUGGGGAGUACGGUCGCAAGAUUAAAACUCAAAGGAAUUGACGGGGACCCGCACAAGCGGUGGAUGAUGUGGAUUAAUUCGAUGCAACGCGAAGAACCUUACCUGGUCUUGACAUGUACGGAAUCCUCCAGAGACGGAGGAGCGCCUUCGGGAGCCGUAACACAGGUGCUGCAUGGCUGUCGUCAGCUCGUGUCGUGAGAUGUUGGGUUAAGUCCCGCAACGAGCGCAACCCUUGUCAUUAGUUGCCAUCAUUAAGUUGGGCACUCUAAUGAGACUGCCGGUGACAAGCCGGAGGAAGGUGGGGAUGACGUCAAGUCCUCAUGGCCCUUAUGACCAGGGCUUCACACGUCAUACAAUGGUCGGUACAGAGGGUAGCCAAGCCGCGAGGCGGAGCCAAUCUCACAAAACCGAUCGUAGUCCGGAUUGCACUCUGCAACUCGAGUGCAUGAAGUCGGAAUCGCUAGUAAUCGCAGGUCAGCAUACUGCGGUGAAUACGUUCCCGGGUCUUGUACACACC
rnacentral:rRNA from 1 species